rnacentral:rRNA from 1 species
UACGGAAGGCAGCAGUGGGGAAUAUUGCACAAUGGGCGCAAGCCUGAUGCAGCCAUGCCGCGUGUAUGAAGAAGGCCUUCGGGUUGUAAAGUACUUUCAGUCGUGAGGAAGGUGUUAAGGUUAAUAACCUUAGCAAUUGACGUUAGCGACAGAAGAAGCACCGGCUAACUCCGUGCCAGCAGCCGCGGUAAUACGGAGGGUGCGAGCGUUAAUCGGAAUUACUGGGCGUAAAGGGCACGCAGGCGGUUAAUUAAGUUGGAUGUGAAAUCCCCGGGCUUAACCUGGGAAUGGCAUUCAAGACUGGUUAGCUAGAGUCUUGUAGAGGGGGUAGAAUUCCAUGUGUAGCGGUGAAAUGCGUAGAGAUGUGGAGGAAAUACCGGUGGCGAAGGCGGCCCCUGGACAAAGACUGACGCUCAUGUGCGAAAAGCGUGGGGAGCAAACAGGGAUUAGAUACC